UUCUGGUGGCCUAGUGGUUAGAGCGCCCGCCUAGGAUGCUGGAGGUCAUGGGUUCGACCCCCGGUCGAGUCAU